AAUACUUCUAGGAAAUUGCUGCACCAAGGGUCUGAAGUGGAUCUGUGAGUUCUACUUGCCAUGAAAUCAUCCCUGGGAUCUCCUUUGUUUUACUAUAGUAUACGUCCUGCAGAAGAACAAUAUGGUUUAUCAUCCAGACUGAAGUGAAAAAGGGCGAGAAAAUAUGCCGCAUCAUUCCACCAAUGAGAAAAAUGACUCAAAGCCGUAAUGCAGGAUCCAUGAUCCAUAAAAAUAUCAACAUAAUGAAAGACAAAGAAAGACCGGGGUAUUAUCACAGCUUGAAAGAAGCCAUGAAGAUGUCACAACUACAUGCAAAAUUGAUCCUGAAAUGGACCCCAAAUGAAAAAGUGAUAUUGUAGGAAUUUGUAAUAAAUUGUGCAGUUUAGUUAGCA